AGUGCCCUGCGGUGCCCGUGAUGCCACCUAACGUUUUGAGCCAACACCUAAACUGAGGGAGUCAAAGCCCUGCUGGAAAUGUGGUAGCCCCUCGAGGGUAAGGCAGGACCUUCAGGUGAGACACCCACCUGCGAGAGCAGGUUCAAAACUCGCUGGCACACGGCACGGCGGGGAACUC
rnacentral:other from 1 species